GUUCAGGUCGCGGCUCCGCCCACGGCCGCCCCGGGGUCGGCUUCCUACACGUCUCUUUAAAGGGCAGCCUGAGCGGCCACCGGGACUCGGAAAUGCUACGUCUAUUGAUUCACAUUACUUGCUGGCAGUGUGUGAAGUCAACGAACAAGACUGAGUCUUUGCCCUUGAGACGCGUACACUCUACCCAGAGACAAGUUCUAAGCACAGGAAACAAGUAAUUUUAUAAGAACAUCACAGGGCAGUUAUUCUCCAGGUGAAUUCGGAUUAAAGAGGACACUUGAGCCGGUAUUGGCAUGCACUAGAUGAUGUCAUUGUGGACUCAUGUUGUCACCAGCAACGGUGAGGAGAAGAGCUCAAUCCUUGAAAGCCAGUGCCAUAUCCUGUGUAUUUUU
rnacentral:lncRNA from 1 species